UCCCUGGUGGUCCAGUGGCUAGGACUUGGCACUUUCACUGCUUUGGACUGGGUUCAAUCUCUGACCAGGAAA
rnacentral:tRNA from 1 species